rnacentral:rRNA from 1 species
CCUACGGGAGGCAGCAGUGAGGAAUAUUGGUCAAUGGACGAGAGUCUGAACCAGCCAAGUAGCGUGAAGGAUGACUGCCCUAUGGGUUGUAAACUUCUUUUAUAUGGGAAUAAAACGUUCCACGUGUGGGAUUUUGUAUGUACCAUAUGAAUAAGGAUCGGCUAACUCCGUGCCAGCAGCCGCGGUAAUACGGAGGAUCCGAGCGUUAUCCGGAUUUAUUGGGUUUAAAGGGAGCGUAGGUGGAUUGUUAAGUCAGUUGUGAAAGUUUGCGGCUCAACCGUAAAAUUGCAGUUGAGACUGGCAGUCUUGAGUACAGUAGAGGUGGGCGGAAUUCGUGGUGUAGCGGUGAAAUGCUUAGAUAUCACGAAGAACUCCGAUUGCGAAGGCAGUUCACUGGACUGCAACUGACACUGAGGCUCGAAAGUGUGGGUAUCAAACAGGAUUAGAUACCCGUGUAGUC